rnacentral:rRNA from 1 species
UACGGAGGGGGCUAGCGUUGUUCGGAAUUACUGGGCGUAAAGCGUACGUAGGCGGCUUUGUAAGUUAGAGGUGAAAGCCCGGGGCUCAACUCCGGAAUUGCCUUUAAGACUGCAUCGCUUGAAUCAUGGAGAGGUGAGUGGAAUUCCGAGUGUAGAGGUGAAAUUCGUAGAUAUUCGGAAGAACACCAGUGGCGAAGGCGACUCACUGGACAUGUAUUGACGCUGAGGUACGAAAGCGUGGGGAGCAAACAGGG